UACGAAGGGGGCUAGCGUUGCUCGGAAUUACUGGGCGUAAAGGGCGCGUAGGCGGUCCGACAAGUCGGGGGUGAAAUCCUGCAGCUUAACUGCAGAAGUGCCUUCGAUACUGUCGGUCUUGAGGGAGAUAGGGGUGUGCGGAACUUCCAGUGGAGCGGUGAAAUGCGUUGAUAUUGGAAGGAACGCCGGAGGCGAAAGCGGCGCACUGGAUCUCUACUGACGCUGAGGCGCGAAAGCCAGGGGAGCAAACGGG
rnacentral:rRNA from 1 species